UAGCAUAUCAAUAAGCGGAGGAGAAAAAACUAACAAGGAUUCCCCUAGUAACGGCGAGUGAAGCGGGAUGAGCUCAAAUUUGAAAGCUGGCACCUUUGGUGUCCGCAUUGUAAUCUCGAGAAGUAGUUUCUGUGCCGGACCAUGUACAAGUUCCUUGGAAUAGGACAUCAGAGAGGGUGAGAAUCCCGUACUUGACAUGGACCCCGGUGCUUUGUGAUCUGCUCUCUAUGAGUCGAGUUGUUUGGGAAUGCAGCUCAAAAUGGGUGGUAAAUUCCAUCUAAAGCUAAAUAUUGGGGAGAGACCGAUAGCGAACAAGUACCGUGAGGGAAAGAUGAAAAGCACUUUGGAAAGAGAGUUAAACAGUACGUGAAAUUGUCAAAAGGGAAGCGCUUGAGGUUAGACAUGCAUGCAGUAUUCAACCUUUCUUUUGGGAUUGGCGUAUUUGCUGUUGUGCAGGCCAGCAUCGGUUUUGUCUGCUGGAUAAUAGUAGGAGAAAUGUGGCAUCUUCGGAUGUGUUAUAGUCUCUUAUUGGAUACAGUGGACGGGACCGAGGACCGCAGUGUGCCGUAAGGCGGCUCUUCGGAGACCUUCGCACUUAGGAUGCUGGCGUAAUGGCCUUAAGCGGCCCGUCUUGAAACACGGACCAAGGAGUCUAACAUAUUUGCGAGUCUUUGGGUGGCAAACCCAUAGGCGUAAUGAAAGUGAAUGCAGGUGGGAUCCUUCUUUAUGGAGGUGCACCAUCGACCGAUCCGGAAUUUCUAGGAUGGAUUUGAGUACGAGCACAUAUGUUGGGACCCGAAAGAUGGUGAACUAUGCCUGAAUAGGGCGAAGCCAGAGGAAACUCUGGUGGAGGCUCGUAGCGAUUCUGACGUGCAAAUCGAUCGUCAAAUUUGGGUAUAGGGGCGAAAGACUAAUCGAACCAUCUAGUAGCUGGUCCUGCGA
rnacentral:rRNA from 1 species